UUCUUAUUGGAGUAUGAAUGUCAUAUGUCAUGAUUGGAUAUCAAUUCUAUGAAAGAUGAAAUGCAUUAUUAUUUUCAUUGACCAAUCAGAACAUGACACGUGACAGUCAUCAUCC
rfam:Glycine soja cultivar W05 scaffold4720_7, whole genome shotgun sequence.